rnacentral:rRNA from 1 species
AUGCAGAUGGAAGCUGCAGAUGCAACUCACCCCAAGGAGAAGAAGGACAAGGAACACGCCAAAGAGGCCAAACCGGCGAAGGAAAAGAAGGACAAGAAGGAGAAGAAAGAAAAGAGCAAGGAGAAGAAAGAGAAGGUCGGAGAGGUAACUGACACGGCCAAGCUGAGGGCAAAGCUAGAGAAGAUCGAUGUGAAAAUCGAUGACCUGAAGGCGAAGAAGCAGGAGAUUGUGGCUCGACUCCUCGAGCUCGAGGGUAAGGCAGCAGAGGCUGCAGCACCAGCGAGCGGCUGA